GCCCAGAUAGCUCAGAUGGUAGAGCGCAGUCUUGGUAAGACUGAGGUCUCGGGUUCGAUCCCCGAUCUGGGCU
rnacentral:tRNA from 1 species